CUGUGAAUGAUGUACACUUUAAGUGUCUGAAACGUGAUGCUUUCAAAGGAACCACUGAUGCAG
rnacentral:snoRNA from 1 species